rnacentral:tRNA from 2 species
CAAGGUAUAGCUUAACAUAAAGCAUCCGGCUUACACCCAGAAGAUCUCAACAUCAUUUGACUACCUUGA